UACGUAGGGUGCAAGCGUUAAUCGGAAUUACUGGGCGUAAAGCGUGCGCAGGCGGUUUCUCAAGUCAAGGGUGAAAGCCCGGAGCUCAACUCCGGAAUUGCCUUUGAAACUGUGGAGCUAGAGUGCGGGAGAGGUGAGUGGAAUUCCCAGUGUAGAGGUGAAAUUCGUAGAUAUUGGGAAGAACACCGGUGGCGAAGGCGGCUCACUGGCCCGUUUCUGACGCUCAUGCACGACAGCGUGGGGAUCAAACAGG
rnacentral:rRNA from 1 species